UCAGAAUUGGAAAUACAAUGGAUAAAAUUGUACUUUGAUUUUGUUGUAUCAGAUCUACCUAGGGAAUAGAAUAGCCAUCCAGCCUCCAGAUUUGUCUGUUUGAAGGCUUCUGUGCAUGGUGGGUAGAAUGUGCUAUUGAGGAAAGCUAGUGUUUAGGUAGGAAUACAUACACGUAUUGUUUUCUUGUUGGCAAUGACCUAGUUUGUCUGCUGUACUGAACAUGCUGUUUACGCUGGCUUUUGUAGGACAAGCAGUGUAUACAGGUGCCAGAAUUGUCUCUGUGAAGAUCUGCCAUGUUUUGACAAAUACUGUUUGAUGUCAAAACCUCCUACUUCCUCUCGAUGAAAUUUGGUGACUUGAGUGCCUAGAUCCAAGAUCCAGUUGCGGUCCUGGACAGCAAAGCUUGGGUGGACUCUGGACAGGGAGCAGAGAACACUUGCUUGUGGAUCCUUGAGCAACUAGUGCAGACUGUUCUUCUUGGAGAAGGGAAUAUGAGCUAUUAAUGGGAAAAACUGCUGGAUCACAGAAUUACAGACUGAUUUGGGAUGUGAGUGGAUGGAUGCGAGUUUCCUUUGGUAAUCACCAUUUAUGCUGAGCCAUGAGGGCUAUGCCAUAAGCUUAACACCUAUCAAGUUCUUUCAGUGGUCAUCUAAUAAUUCAAUGAGACAAAAAUCCAUGUGUGUAACCAAGUCACAAGACACGAUACACUGACUUGACAGUAGAAGAUGGGCUGGCAAAGGGUUUCCAAAAGAUUAGGCCGAGGGAAGGCAUCAAGUCUGCGAGCAUGGCCUUUAGAAAGAUUGAGGCUACAGCUAGUGUUAUGAAGUUAGUGAAAUACAUACUUUCAGAUCUCCUGAGAUAUUGGCUCCUGCAAGAAUGCCAGUGGCAGCUGGGAAAAAAAUGGCAAACACCGAGAAAAAUCCUUCUCCGCUUCUGAAAUCUGGUCCAAAGUUUUCUGCAAAUAUUGAUGCUGUAAAUAUAGGUGAAAAUGAAACAUACCACCAGGAUUUGAUUUCAAAGUUACUUACUGAAGAAGGUUUACCUUUGCUUCCCAUUCCAUGCCAGCAACAGAGAUGCCGAGAAGACAUACAACAGUUAUGGUACCUAUUAUUCUGAUGUCGUUGGACUCAUCUACCAUCAGUGUAUCACUCUCCUGAAAGCAAAAUGCAGAUAUGUUUCUCACCAGCACACCCUUCACCCAUCCGAACUUGACAAAUCCUGUUUUGUUUUCUUCUUCCUUGCUGACUGCUGUCUCAUCUCCAGUGGUGCUUUCUCCAUUAGCCACUCUCUCGACUGAG